rnacentral:rRNA from 1 species
GACGAACGCUGGCGGCGUGCUUAACACAUGCAAGUCGAACGGAAAGGCCCUGCUUUUGUGGGGUGCUCGAUUGGCGAACGGGUGAGUAACACGUGAGUAACCUGCCCUUGACUUUGGGAGAACUUCUGGAAACUGGGGCUAAUACCCGAUAGGAUCUCCUGCUGCGUGGGGGGGGUUGGAAAGUUUCGGCGGUGGGGGAUGGACUCGCGGCUUAUCAGCUUGUUGGUCGGGUAGGUGCUUACCAAGGCUUUGACGGGUAGCCGGCCUGAGAGGGUGACCGGCGACAUUGGGACUGCGAUACGGCGCAGACGCCUACGGGAGGCAGCAGUGGGGAAUAUUGCACAAUGGGGGGAAGCCUGAUGCAGAAACGCCGCGUGCGGGAUGACGUCCUACGGGUUGUAAACCGCUGUCGCCUGUGACGAAGCGUGAGUGACGGUAAUGGGUAAAGAAGCACCGGCUAACUACGUG